CCCCCCAAGGGGUCGCUGGGGGCUCUGUGCUCCGUUUCAGGGCAUGGGGAAUGCGAAUGGUUAAAGCUGUGGGGGUGGAGGUGCGGAGGAUGCCCUCUGGAUUUGGGGUCUCCAGGAGGUUGGGGGGGUUCCGCAGUCCCUAAGCCCCCGUGUACCCGGGGGGGGCCCUACCUGGGGGUCUCAACAGCCCCCGUGUCCCAACUGCUCCCAAAGGGGGACCCCCAGGGCGCACUGUUGUCCCCUGAGUGCCCCCAUGAGGGCAGUGGUGGUGUCUGAGCCUCUGUGUCCCCCCAGUGUCCUCAGAAAGGGGACCCUAUGGGUCCUGAGCACCCCCCUAACCCCCCCCAAUCUCAAGUGUGUCCCUUUAUGGGGGUCCUGGUGGUCCCUCAGCCCCCGAUGUCCCCAGGGGUGUCCCCAUAUGGGGGGUCCCCGCACUUCUACGAGCCCCCAGUGUCCCCAGGGGUGUCCUCAUGGGGGGGGGGUCCCUGCAGUCCCUGAGCCCCCCACCCCCACCCCCACUGGGGGGUUCCCCACGCGCUGCCCUCUCCCCGCAGGCGGGACCUCGGCUGGAGGGGCUGCGGGGCCGCGCUCCGGGCUGCACCUGGGACACACUGCGCAACUCCGCGGGCGAAAAGAUCGUGCAGCUGCGGAGCCACCCCCUGGCACCCAUGGGUGCGGGCGCCUGCGCGCUGCUGCAGGAGCUGUCCGAGGAGCAGAGCUUCGCCAUCAGCUACCUCGACAUCGAUGCUCUGAGUCUCAGUGGGCUGCACCAGUGCCUGGUGGAGCUGUCGACGCAGCCGGCCACCGUCUGCCACGGCGCUGCCCCCUCCCGCGACGGCGCCCGCUCCCACGCCGCCCGCAACGCCCUCCAGUACCUCCGCAUCAUGGCGGGGGGCAAGUGAGCCCCCCACCCCCCGCCCAGGCGGACCCCCGGGCACCCGGAGACACCUGGAUGGAGCCGGGGACGCGCGGACGGACCCACGGACGGAUGGAGCCACAGAGUCACCGAGUGACACGUGGACGCCCCCGACGGGCACCCGGAGCUGCUGGGGGGACGCUCAGACAGACCCACGGACACCCGGACCCACUGACUCGCCCUGUGGGCACCCGGACGGACCCUCGGACAUGCUGACAGACACACGGACGGACGCUCGGGCCCUGGAUGGACCUCGGGGCCGGGGGGGGGACCUCUGUUCUGCCCCCCCCCUAUUCCCCCGCCCCCAGGUGGGUCCCUGGGCACAGGCAGCCCCCAGGAAUAAAGCUGGGGGGGUUUGUAACUCCCCGUGUUGU
rnacentral:lncRNA from 1 species